rnacentral:sRNA from 1 species
GAAGCCCAGCAAGGAGGAUUUUGAAAAAUGCAACUCAGAUGCUGGUCCAGGGCUUUUAUUACAAAAAUGCUCCGCGCUACCAUUUUCCCUUGACCAUCCCCCUCCGCCUCGAGAUCAACCGAUAAAUCAUUAUCUCGAACAGGCCAUAUACCAGUUUCCUUAUCGGAACCUUGAGCGAUGCCCAUCCGCCUUUCCAAUCUUGCGAAAUGUGACCGAGAAUCACCACGUUCAGCUUACUAGACCAGGGGUCGCAACAGACAAUCGCGAUUGCGGCCAAGGACCAACUGAAGAUGGAAGUCUUGGCAAUGCUCUUGACUGCGCGAUUGUGGCAGCAUACCUGCUUGAUGCUGGUUGCACAAAAGCUGACCGGGACAGUGUGAACUGGCAUUCGAUACUUGAAGACGAGG